rnacentral:misc_RNA from 1 species
GAUGAAGAACGUAGCGAAAUGCGAUAAGUAAUGUGAAUUGCAGAAUUCAGUGAAUCAUCGAAUCUUUGAACGCACAUUGCGCCCGCCAGUAUUCUGGCGAGCAUGCCUGUUCGAGCGUCAUUUCAACCAUCAAGCCCCAGGCUUGUGUUGGAGCCCUGCGGCUGCCGCAGCCUCCCAAAACCAGUGGCGGGCUCGCUAUCACACCGAGUGCAGUAGUUUACUCUUCGCUCAGGGCGUGUGGCGGGUGCUAGCCGUGAAACCCCCAACUUCUCAAGGUUGACCUCGGAUCAGGUAGGAAUACCCGCUGAACUUAAACAUAUCAAUAAGCGGAGGA